UACGUAGGGGGCGAGCGUUUGUCCGGAGUACUGGGCGUAAAGCGCACGCAGGCGGUCUGUUAAGUUUGGAGUGACAGUUGGUGGCUCAACCACCAAAGUGCUUUGAAAACUGAUAGACUUGAGGGCUUCAGAGGGACACGGAAUUCCGGGUGGAGUGGUGAAAUGCGGUAGAGAUCCGGAGGAACACCAAAGGCGAAGGCAGUGUCCUGGGG
rnacentral:rRNA from 1 species